UUAACUAGGAUUAGAUACCCUAUUAUUAAAAUUUAAUAUUAAAUACUAAAAUAGUAGGUAAUAAUUUAUUGAAACUUAAAUAAUUUGGCAGUAUUUUAGUUUAUUUAGAGGAAUCUGUUUAAUAAUUGAUAAUCCACGAAUAAAUUUACUUAAUUUAUAAUUUUAUAUAUCGUUGUUAAAAAAAUAUUUUUAAAUAAUAAUAAUAUUUUAAAAUUUAAAUAAAAAAUUAACUCAGAUCAAGAUGUAGAUGAUAAUUAAGAAUAUAAUGGAUUACAUUAAAUUUAUUUAAAUGGAUAUUUGUUUGUAAUAUAUAAUUAAAGGUGGAUUUAAAUGUAAUUUUAUUUAAUUAAUAAAAUGAUUACAAUA
rnacentral:rRNA from 1 species